GGACUACAAGGGUAUCUAAUCCUGUUUGCUCCCCACGCUUUCGUGUCUGAGCGUCAGUAUUAUCCCAGGGGGCUGCCUUCGCCAUCGGUAUUCCUCCACAUAUCUACGCAUUUCACUGCUACACGUGGAAUUCUACCCCCCUCUGACAUACUCUAGCUCGGCAGUUAAAAAUGCAGUUCCAAGGUUGAGCCCUGGGAUUUCACAUCUUUCUUUCCGAACCGCCUACACACGCUUUACGCCCAGUAAUUCCGAUUAACGCUUGCACCCUACGUAUUACCGCGGCUGCUGGCACGUAGUUAGCCGGUGCUUAUUCUGCAGAUACCGUCAGCAGUAUCCCGUAUUAGGGGAUACCUUUUCUUCUCUGCCAAAAGUACUUUACAACCCGAAGGCCUUCAUCAUA
rnacentral:misc_RNA from 1 species